AGCGUGCUUGGGCGAGUGUAGUACUAGGAUGGGUGACCCCUUAGGAAGUCCUCGUGUUGCACUC
rnacentral:rRNA from 1 species